rnacentral:rRNA from 1 species
CCUACGGGUGGCAGCAGUGGGGAAUAUUGGGCAAUGGGCGCAAGCCUGACCCAGCAACGCCGCGUGCAGGAAGAAGGCUUUCGGGUUGUAAACUUCUUUUCUCAGGGACGAAGAAAGUGACGGUACCUGAAGAAUAAGCCGCGGCUAACUACGUGCCAGCAGCCGCUGUAAUACGUAGGUGGCAAGCGUUAUCCUGAUAUACUGGGGGGAAAGGGCGUGUAGGCGGGACUGCAAGUCAGAUGUGAAAACCACGGGCUCAACCUGUGGCCUGCCUUUGAAACUGUAGUUCUUGAGUACGGGAGAGGCAGACGGAAUUCCUAGUGUAGCGGUGAAAUGCGUAGAUAUUAGGAGGAACACCAGUGGCGAAGGCGGUCUGCUGGACAGCAACUGACGCUGAGGCGCGAAAGCGUGGGGAGCAAACAGGAUUAGAUACCCCAGUAGUC